GGUCUCGUGGUGUAGUGGUUAUCACGUCUGCCUUACACGCAGAAGGUCGCCGGUUCGAACCCGGCCGGGAUCA
rnacentral:tRNA from 1 species